UCACUCUUCUCUUCCAUCAAUCCCCCCUCUCUCUCUCUCUUCUUCUUCUGUGCUUAGGGUUUUUUUUCUUCUUCUUCUUCCGAUUCUCACUGGAUACAAGAAGAUUCAGGAUUUGUGCUUCUCAGAUCAAGAUUCUCCGUUUGGGGAAUCACGUUGAACAUAGAUAGAGUUCAUUGUUGAAGAGGUUUUUGGUGUGCGGGGUGGUUGGUGAUUAGAUCUCGAGACUGUUGAUAUAUGGUAGUUUUGAGGUGGAGAGAUUGAGAGGAGUUAAAUCUGUGAUUUUCGAGGAGGAGGGAGGAGGGAGGGUUUUAGGUGGUUGAGGGGUUUCAGGUCUCCAUGCUGUCAGAGAGCAUGCGUGCAAUUUGUGGUUUGGGUAAUGCCCUAUUCGAGAUUUGCUGUUGAUGCACUAGGUGUAAUUACUAUUAUACUUGUUUCGAUUUUGGUACUUGCUGGGUUGUUUUGUAUAUUGUACUUGAUAUACUUUCAUACGAAGAUUCGCGGGCAAGGUUACAAUCAGCUUGGUUAUUUUCAUGGUCCUUGGAUUAUCCGGAUUGUAUUUAUAUUGUUUGCAAUUUGGUGGGGAUUUGGAGAGGUUGUUCGGCUUAACUUGAUUAGAGGGGAAGGAAGAUUGUUGAGUGCUUUUGGUUUCAGAUGGCAGGAAACUGUUUGCAAGUGUUAUAUUGUUUCGAGCUUAGGUUUUGCAGAACCUUGCCUGUACCUAACCGUUGUGUUUCUCCUUCGGGCAUCCUUACAAAAGUCAGGAACUUUAAGCCAGAAAUGGAAUGGCAAAACAGUCGGAUACAUACUUCUUUUUUGCCUCCCAGUUUUUGCUCUACAGCUCGUGCUUAUUUUGGCUGGACCACAACUUGAGAAGAAUAGCUUGAAACACUUGCCAGAGUAUUUCACUAGUCCAGUCAAACAAUCUGAAGAUGAUGUUGCCCUGUGCACUUACCCUUUGUUGAGGAUUAGUGAUUACGUGACUAUUGACCAACCUUGGCAAUACCCAAAAGCAUUAGCUCAUCUCACUAUGAUGAUGCUAAUUUCUGAUGAGGUUUUGAACUCAAGUGAAGAAGAUGCAUCCACCUUUGACUCUACAUAGACACCCUUUAUGUGCUGAUAUAAUUGAAGAGUUUCAGAAGUGUCAUACAGACCACCCACUAGGGAAAUUCCUUGGGCAAUGCACAGAACUGAAAGUAAAGCUUGACCGGUGCUUUAGGCAGGAAAAAGCUAUAAAGAGGAAAGCAAAUUUUGAACAGAGCAAGAAGUUGAAAGAGAGGCUUCAGGCUUACAGGAAAGAAACUGCUGAAAUGCAAUCUUGAAUCUGAUAAUAGUUAUGUUGACAAGACACUGUUGUGCAAUAUUUCAACACGCGAAGGAAAGCUUAAUGGCUGGGAUUUAUCAGAGAAAGAUUGGUGAAUAGAAUUGUCGUUCGUCUAUUCUGUUGUUUUAAAGUGAAAUAAGAUGUAUAGACACAAGAAUUGUAGCAACUUAUCAGACCAUUCAAUUUUGGUGCCUGGAAAAUGUCAAACAUCAAAAUACUGAAAUGAUUGUGUGAACUGAUAGAAGGUUCCUGGUAGGAGGUAGCUACCCUUUUAGUAUUAGUUGAGGUGCGUGCAAGCUGAUUCUAGCACGCAAUUUUCGGAAAAUUAUAGAAGUGCAGUAGCUUGAUUCUUUUGA